rnacentral:rRNA from 1 species
CUCAGAACGAACGCUGGCGGCGCGCCUAAUACAUGCAAGUCGAGCGAGAAGGUGUAGCAAUACACUUGGUAAAAGCGGGCGAACGGGUGAGGAAUGCAUGGGUAACCUACCCUCGAGUGGGGAAUAACUAGCCGAAAGGUUAGCUAAUACCGCAUACGUUUCCGGAACUUCGGUUUCGGAAAGAAAGCAAUACCGUGGGUAUUGCGCUCCUGGAUGGGCUCAUGUCCUAUCAGCUUGUUGGUGAGGUAACGGCUCACCCAAGGCUUCGACGGGUAGCUGGUCUGAGAGGACGAUCAGCCACACUGGCACUGCGACACGGGCCAGACUCCUACGGGAGGCAGCAGUAAGGAAUAUUGCGCAAUGGACGAAAGUCUGACGCAGCGACGCCGCGUGGGGGAUGAAGGUCUUCGGAUUGUAAACCCCUUUCGGGAGGGAAGAUGGAGUGGGUAACCACUUGGACGGUACCUCCAGAAGCAGCCACGGCUAACUUCGUG